rnacentral:rRNA from 1 species
GUGGAAAGCUCUGGCGGAGAGGGAUGAGCUCGCGGCCUAUCAGCUUGUUGGUGAGGUAAUGGCUCACCAAGGCAUUGACGGGUAGCCGGCCUGAGAGGGUGACCGGCCACACUGGGACUGAGACACGGCCCAGACUCCUACGGGAGGCAGCAGUGGGGAAUAUUGCACAAUGGGCGCAAGCCUGAUGCAGCAACGCCGCGUGAUGGACGACGGCCUUCGGGUUGUAAACCUCUUUUAGUAGGGAAGAAGCGAAGUGUUUUACAUGGAGUGACGGUACCUGCAGAAAAAGCACCGGCUAACUGCGUGCCAGCAGCCGCGGUAAUACGUAGGGUGCAAGCGUUAUCCGGAAUUAUUGGGCGUAAAGAGCUCGUAGGCGGUUUGUCGCGUCUGCUGUGGAAACUGGGGGCUCAACCCCCAGCCUGCAGUGGGUACGGGCAGACUAGAGUGCGGUAGGGGAGAUUGGAAUUCCUGGUGUAGCGGUGGAAUGCGCAGAUAUCAGGAGGAACACCAAUGGCGAAGGCAGAUCUCUGGGCCGUAACUGACGCUGAGGAGCGAAAGCAUGGGGAGCGAACAGGAUUAGAUACCCUGGUAGUCCAUGCCGUAAACGUUGGGAACUAGAUGUAGGGUCCAUUCCACGGAUUCUGUGUCGCAGCUAACGCAUUAAGCGCCCCGCCUGGGGAGUACGGCCGCAAGGCUAAAACUCAAAGGAAUUGACGGGGGCCCGCACAAGCGGCGGAGCAUGCGGAUUAAUUCGAUGCA